UCCUCUUUGCGCAACUCUAUAUAAUAGACUCUGUUUUACUGAUGCCGUCGUUCGUCGUGCAGGUUGUGCGUGUGUUCCAAUGACCACGAAUGACGCGGUUACCGCUUUUACCACCGCUACUAAAAUACGGCAGAAAACAGCGUUUACAACGUUGGAAUCUUCUCGGGAAUCUUGGCCCACAUUGAUGAAGGAAACCACCGAGCGGCAAAACACACGCGAAGUUCCACACGGUGACGUACUUCUUAAUGCAGAACCUCGAGCACGAAAUCGCGAUUUGCAGUGUGGCGGAUAGCUUUGAUUGGCGAGACCAUCGAAUGAAUCUUCUGAGCACCGAUCUUUCACGAUGGAGGUGGAACAAGCGCUGGCAGCUGUUGACGGAACGGGGGUCAUUUUAGACGGAUUGUCGCAAGCCGGUACGAUCUACAUUACGGAUCGAAGCAUAAAUCGUUACGGUGUAGAAUCGACCGAUAAGCAUCGACUUCCGCGUGUGGUUUUUGCUUAUUAAUAGGUAGAUGAUCCAUUUCAGCAGCACCACCGUUUCCGCCCCAACGCUCACCAUGGACCGGCUCACCUACCUGUAGUCUACUCUCACGAUUGGAUCGUAACUAUUUUCUUCACGCAGAAGUUUUUGUAAAUGUUGUAAAGUAAUGUCUAAAAAAUAAAAAACAUUUUAUUUGUA